rnacentral:rRNA from 1 species
GAUCAUGGCUCAGGACGAACGCUGGCGGCGUGCUUAACACAUGCAAGUCGAACGCUGAAGCCUAGCUUGCUGGGUGGAUGAGUGGCGAACGGGUGAGUAACACGUGAGUAACCUGCCCCCUUCUUUGGGAUAACGCCCGGAAACGGGUGCUAAUACUGGAUAUUCACUGAUCUUCGCAUGGGGGUUGUGGAAAGUUUUUCNGGUGGGGAUGGGCUCGCGGCCUAUCAGCUUGUUGGUGGGGU